rnacentral:rRNA from 1 species
GACGAACGCUUGCGGCGUGCUUAACACAUGCAAGUCGAACGGAAAGGCCCUGCUUUUGUGGGGUGCUCGAGUGGCGAACGGGUGAGUAACACGUGAGUAACCUGCCCUUGACUUUGGGAUAACUUCAGGAAACUGGGGCUAAUACCGGAUAGGAGCUCCUGCUGCAUGGUGGGGGUUGGAAAGUUUCGGCGGUUGGGGAUGGACUCGCGGCUUAUCAGCUUGUUGGUGGGGUAGUGGCUUACCAAGGCUUUGACGGGUAGCCGGCCUGAGAGGGUGACCGGCCACAUUGGGACUGAGAUACGGCCCAGACUCCCACGGGAGGCAGCAGUGGGGAAUAUUGCACAAUGGGCGGAAGCCUGAUGCAGCAACGCCGCGUGCGGGAUGACGGCCUUCGGGUUGUAAACCGCUUUCGCCUGUGACGAAGCGUGAGUGACGGUAAUGGGUAAAGAAGCACCGGCUAACUACGUGCCAGCAGCCGCGGUGAUACGUAGGGUGCGAGCGUUGUCCGGAUUUAUUGGGCGUAAAGGGCUCGUAGGUGGUUGAUCGCGUCGGAAGUGUAAUCUUGGGGCUUAACCCUGAGCGUGCUUUCGAUACGGGUUGACUUGAGGAAGGUAGGGGAGAAUGGAAUUCCUGGUGGAGCGGUGGAAUGCGCAGAUAUCAGGAGGAACACCAGUGGCGAAGGCGGUUCUCUGGGCCUUUCCUGACGCUGAGGAGCGAAAGCGUGGGGAGCGAACAGGCUUAGAUACCCUGGUAGUCCACGCUGUAAACGGUGGGUACUAGGUGUGGGGUCCAUUCCACGGGUUCCGUGCCGUAGCUAACGCUUUAAGUACCCCGCCUGGGGAGUACGGCCGCAAGGCUAAAACUCAAAGGAAUUGACGGGGCCCCGCACAAGCGGCGGAGCAUGCGGAUUAAUUCGAUGCAACGCGUAGAACCUUACCUGGGUUUGACAUGGAUCGGGAGUGCUCAGAGAUGGGUGUGCCUCUUUUGGGGUCGGUUCACAGGUGGUGCAUGCCUGUCGUCAGCUCGUGUCGUGAGAUGUUGGGUUAAGUCCCGCAACGAGCGCAACCCUUGUUCACUGUUGCCAGCACGUUAUGGUGGGGACUCAGUGGAGACCGCCGGGGUCAACUCGGAGGAAGGUGGGGAUGACGUCAAGUCAUCAUGCCCCUUAUGUCCAGGGCUUCACGCAUGCUACAAUGGCUGGUACAGAGAGUGGCGAGCCUGUGAGGGUGAGCGAAUCUCGGAAAGCCGGUCUCAGUUCGGAUUGGGGUCUGCAACUCGACCUCAUGAAGUCGGAGUCGCUAGUAAUCGCAGAUCAGCAACGCUGCGGUGAAUACGUUCCCGGG